rnacentral:rRNA from 1 species
AGUGAACGCUGGCGGUAGGCCUAACACAUGCAAGUCGAACGGCAGCACAGUAAGAGCUUGCUCUUACGGGUGGCGAGUGGCGGACGGGUGAGGUAUACAUCGGAAUCUACUUUUUCGUGGGGGAUAACGUAGGGAAACUUACGCUAAUACCGCAUACGACCUACGGGUGAAAGCAGGGGAUCUUCGGACCUUGCGCGAUUGAAUGAGCCGAUGUCGGAUUAGCUAGUUGGCGGGGUAAAGGCCCACCAAGGCGACGAUCCGUAGCUGGUCUGAGAGGAUGAUCAGCCACACUGGAACUGAGACACGGUCCAGACUCCUACGGGAGGCAGCAGUGGGGAAUAUUGGACAAUGGGCGCAAGCCUGAUCCAGCCAUGCCGCGUGGGUGAAGAAGGCCUUCGGGUUGUAAAGCCCUUUUGUUGGGAAAGAAAAGCAGCAGGUUAAUACCCCGCUGUUCUGACGGUACCCAAAGAAUAAGCACCGGCUAACUUCGUG